rnacentral:rRNA from 1 species
CAGCGCCACGAGUGGUGACCACGUUUAUUGGGCCUAAAGCGUCCGUAGCCGGUUUAGUAAGUCUUUUGUGAAAUUGUGCGGCUCAACCGUACAACGUGCAAGAGAUACUGCUAGGCUUGAGACCGGGAGGAGUCAGAAGUAUUCCAGAGGGAGCGGUAAAAUGUUAUAAUCUCUGGAGGACUACCUGUGGCGAAGGCGUCUGACCAGAACGGAUCUGACGGUGAGGGACGAAAGCCAGGGGAGCGAACCGGAUUAGAUACCCGAGUAGUCC